GGGGGCGGGGCCUCGCGGGGAGGGGUUGUGGCCGCUGUGAGCGGGUGCCUGUUGGUGGCUGCUGUUGGUGGGCGUCGCUGCGCCGUGUGGGGGCGCUGGCUCGUUCCCAGGCCGCAGUGGCCGCUUCCGUGUGGCCAGGCGAGCCCUGUGCCUGCCUUGGGCAAGGGUCGCCUUCACCCGGGGCUGUCGCUCGCUGAGUCUCCCCCGGUGUGCAGGUGUUACCUUGCACUCCCUGGCAGCCGCGUUGCGGUGUGUGGACUUCCAACCCCGCCACCAAACCUUUUGUUUCUCUGCAGGCCGCAAGUGUGUGCAGGCGGCAAUGCAUCAAUGUUGAUGGCCUGAGGGAGCUCAGGGAGGCAGCUUCGUGAGUGAUCGCUUGCUGAGACCGAGAAGCCCGGGCUGCCUCCUACCCGUGCUCGUGGUGCGGAGCCAGCAGCCAGCAGGGGCUGCUCGGGAGCCGCCCGGCGCCCCUCUCCCUGCCCGGCCUGCCCCUGCCCGGCUGCUGCGGGCAUAUGACACAGAUGAGUUUUCUGCAAUAUUGUCCAAAGUAGAAUAAAGGAAGCUACUGAUGACAAAUAAGGGAAGCACAGAAGAUCAGUUCUUCGGCCACAAUUCCUCAAGCUACUGCCUCCAGAAAAGAAGAUGCAGCUUCCUGAGAUAUGUUACUAAGGAAGCCCGAGGGACCAUUCCAUCGCCCAAACACUGGCCUACAGACACUGCUCCAGACGUUGCUCUUGAGGGACUGGGCAUCCUAUAUCUGCACCGUCCCUGAGUGAAUGACUCCCAUGUCCCAUGUUGUCACAGCAAAGGAUCUGACUUUGUCAGCUAAACUCUAAGCUCAGCCAUGGAACUCCUCCAAAGGGUGCUCUCUGUGUCUGGAUCGGGUGCUCCAGGGCCUGCCCCAAGGGUUGCUGGAGCUCUCACUAUUAGCUUCCUAACUUCCCAAUGAAGCGUGAACAACCUGACUAAUUGUUCGUGCCAGUUGACUAAUCAUAAUAAAAAACUAUAAUUAAAAAAAAAAAAGAAUGCAGCAUGAGCUCCCGUUGCCUCUACGUCCUUGACAUGAUCAGACAACUGCCUGCUCUGCUGCCCUCAGAGCUGGAUCCGGCUUUGGUGCAGAUGGCAACAAGUGCAGAUGAAGAGGUGACACAACCAGCACUCAGAGCCAUUGCACCCUGCUCUGAAUGAUGGGUAGCAGUGCUGUGAGGCUGUCCUGCAAUCACUAACACUUUCCUGCAACUUUUGGCUGUCCUUGGCACAAGCCUUGCCCGGAUACAGAGCAAAGAGGCUGGGAAAGCCCAGCCACAGCUGUAAUUUCUGUCUUCACAUACACUUUCCUACACAGUAUUUUAAACUUUAAGCUUUCUCUUUUCACGAUACUGAAGAAAAUGAAGUAAAUUUACUUUGGUCUAAGUGCAGCUUUGAAUGUAAUGGCAUCUCUUGUUCACUCAUAAUUAAUCCAGAUAACAACAGCUAGAAUUAUAAUAAUAAUGAUGGCAAAUGGGAUUGACUAAGUAAUGUGCUGUUUCAACUCUGUCUCUACCACAGGAAGAAGGAACUAGAGGGCAUAAAAAUAAUGGUGAUGGGAAAGACCUCACUGAAAAGAGUGAGGAAAAGAGCCAGAGAAAGGCUUUGGGUAGCGUGCACCUACUUAACCUGGGGUCUCACUUCAGGCUGCAAUCCCCAGUAGCUGGAUUACUAUAGAAAGCUCCAAUAUCCUUCCAGCUAUCCCAACUCACUGUGUUUCCUUUUGUGGGAGGGUGCUGUACUCUGUAUCCACAAAACAACCGAGGGUAUGAGCAGUCCUUCACAGAAAGCGGGCAAGAUAUACUCUGGAUUAUUUCAUCAAACUCUCUUACACUGAGCUCCAGAAACAGUUGUGCCAGUGCCAGUGAGGGACUACAGCAUGGGGUAGGGGGAGGCUCCC